rfam:Lactobacillus senioris DSM 24302 = JCM 17472 strain DSM 24302 NODE_26, whole genome shotgun sequence.
AAUUGUGAGUAAUCGCGGUCGGCAACAGUCGGCUGAGGAAAGUCCAUGCUCGCACAGGCUGAGAUGCCUGUAGUGUUCGUGCUCGGUGAAAAAAUAAGCCGGGGAACUCAUUUUGAGUUACGGCGGACUUCACGCUAAGGCCUUUGGCUAUGCUAACAAGUCCUUAAGGUGCCACAGUGACGAUACAGAUUAGGAAACUUUUCUGGUGGAACGCGGUAAACCCCUCGAGCGGGAAACCCAAACUUAUGGUAGGGGAGCUUCACACACGGAAAUUGAACCAAGUGUGGGGGGAAGGUGCAAGCCUUCGAGAUAGAUGAUUACUACUUAAGCAAUUGCCCUGGAAUUGUUUAAGCACAAAACAUGGCUUACAGGA